GAUGAACGCUGGCGGCGUGCCUAAUACAUGCAAGUCGAGCGAACGGACGAGAAGCUUGCUUCUCUGACGUUAGCGGCGGACGGGUGAGUAACACGUGGAUAACCUACCUAUAAGACUGGGAUAACUUCGGGAAACCGGAGCUAAUACCGGAUAAUAUCAUGAACCGCAUGGUUCAAAAGUGAAAGACGGUCUUGCUGUCACUUAUAGAUGGAUCCGCGCUGCAUUAGCUAGUUGGUAAGGUAACGGCUUACCAAGGCAACGAUGCAUAGCCGACCUGAGAGGGGGAUCGGCCACACUGGAACGGAGACACGGUCCAGACUCCUACGGGAGGCAGCAGUAGGGAAUCUUCCGCAAUGGGCGAAAGCCUGACGGAGCAACGCCGCGUGAGUGAUGAAGGUCUUCGGAUCGUAAAACUCUGUUAUUAGGGAAGAACAUAUGUGUAAGUAACUGUGCACAUCUUGACGGUACCUAAUCAGAAAGCCACGGCUAACUACGUG
rnacentral:rRNA from 1 species